rnacentral:lncRNA from 1 species
CAAGAUGAUUUUAUCGAUUUUAUUUGCAUUUUGGAAGAAGGAAAUAAAGAAAACAUUGAUUAUGGUGAAAAAGUUUACUGGAGAACUUGAACAAGAGUUACAGAUAUGACAAACAUCUAGAAGAUGGAAUCCUGCGUUCUUAAAGAAAAAAGCUAGUUCCAGAAGUAAGCUACCAAUAAUAAACUAGAGAAUGUAUUACAAGAAAGAACAACGCUAAUACUCAACAUAACUCAAUUGCUUCAGAUA